GGGGUUUCACCAUGUUAGCCAGGCUGCUCUUUAACUCCUGGCCUCAAGUUGAUAUGCCUGCCUUGGCCUCCCAAGUACUGGGAUUACAGGCGUGAGCCACCGUGCCCGGCCUCAAACUAUAUUUUCUAAUUAGUACAGUAAAUACACAUUAAUCAUGACACAAUUAUUUCUUCUGGAUACAGCAGGAAAAAUUAAGUUAAGAGAAAGUGCUUCAUAUUUCUUGAUUUGUUAUAAAAAGGAGAGAUCCUCUAGAUUUCUGGGUAAGAGGGAAAGCUAGCAAUCCCACAAUGAUUUCCUUUAUUUCUUGCCAUCCGAAUAUAUCCUUCUUCACCAAAGUUGUGGCCCCAGCUGUUUUUCACAAGCCAGUAUUCUUUCCCAUUAAGAUCACCAUAGCCAACCACAAGUACACCAUGAUUCACAUUCUGAGUACAGGAUGGUUCAUAGUAGACACCACUUCUGUAGAGGAAGAAAGAAGGAUGACGCGCAUCUACACCAACAGACACUGGGCCUUUAUUGGCCACAGCUUCUUUCAGGACAUCUUCUCUGCCAUAAGGAAGUUCAGUGUACUUUGAACAUGUGGCAGCACGAUAUUUUGAGUCAUAUUGACAUUUCUGAUCCAUGGCUUUGUAGGGAUAGGAAGCGUCUGAGUCGAUGCCCUUGUUAUCAAUGAUGUACUGGAAAGCCGUUGUCAUGAAGCCACCAUUGCAGCCUUUGUUUCCAUAUUUUUCAGUUGAGCAAUCCACCAGGUUCUGGGCACUGAGAGACACCAGCUUUCCUGUUUUCAGCUUCAGCUGUGCUUCCAGGGCCCCCACAGCACUGAAAGCCCAGCAAGCACCACAAGAACCUUGAUAUUUCACUUCAGUAACACACCCUUUCUCUCUCCAGUCCACAGAAUCAGGCAAUAUCCGAUUAGGGUUUGACUUAUAUGUGAUAUUUCUCUGCCACUGGCUGGGAACUCUCAGGGAACUCAUCAAAGACAUCACUUCUUCACUGGUCAUGUCUCCCAGGUGGUUCAUGCCCAGAUCGUAUGAGUGCAUUCCCAUUGAAUGCUCCAGGUUGUGAAGCAUCACAAACUUUAGAUUCUUUUCCCAGAUGAGACGUCGUACUGCUUCUUCAUUCUUUUCCUUGUAUUGUUUGCCAUAGGUUUUCUUCCAGAGAUGCCAGUGGUGAUCCAGGGUAGGAUCUUUAUGCAACUGUGCCACUGCAGAGGAGCACACCAAGAGCACACAAACCAGCCGUUUCAUUGUGAUAGAACCAGCAGUUGCUCCCACAGUAAGAGUCCUUGAAUUAGUGGGCUCUCUUCUAAGAUUUCAAAGCAACAAGGAG
rnacentral:lncRNA from 1 species